UGUGGCCUACGGGGGGCAGCAGUAGGGAAUCUUCCGCAAUGGACGAAAGUCUGACGGAGCAACGCCGCGUGAGUGAUGAAGGCUUUCGGGUCGUAAAACUCUGUUGUUAGGGAAGAACAAGUGCUAGUUGAAUAAGCUGGCACCUUGACGGUACCUAACCAGAAAGCCACGGCUAACUACGUGCCAGCAGCCGCGGUAAUACGUAGGUGGCAAGCGUUAUCCGGAAUUAUUGGGCGUAAAGCGCGCGCAGGUGGUUUCUUAAGUCUGAUGUGAAAGCCCACGGCUCAACCGUGGAGGGUCAUUGG
rnacentral:rRNA from 1 species